GCGAAGGUUUUCAGAGUUAAAUGUUCUCAUGAAGAGCAUGGCAAAUCAAAUCUAACGCUCCCCCCACCUCCACUGGUCACUACCAAUUUUCCUCAACUUUCUUAGCAUCUCCCUCAGGCCCUAAAGAAGAGGAGGAAAGCAAAGUUCCUGUCUCCUGAUGUCACACUGUGAUGCGCAGUGUAAGGUAGUCGUGCUGGGAAGAAGAACUACCACAACACACCGAGAAACAGACGCAUCCCGACAUUUUGGACAGCUCAGCUAACGAAGUCAGCAAAGGAGAAACCAGUCUCUGGGCAAAACAGGAGGGAAACAAGAUGAGUAGCAUCAUCAGCUCUGGAGAGGAGCCUAGUGAUACCACAACGAUGGACAUUCAGGGAAGGAAGGAUGAUCCCACAGUGGCAGGGAAGUCAACACAUGCAACAGGGAGUAAAAGACCCAAGGAAACCUCAGAUUUCUGGUUUGGAGCUCUCACUGUGAUCUCUGACGUACCGCAUGAAGCACAUCACAGAACAUCAAAGCUGGAGAAUGCUACUGGAUUCUCUCUUCUUGGCUGAGGAUGGUGGCCAUAUUCCAGUUGUCCUGGGGUUACAAUACACAGAGAUGGACAAUGCAGAGAAAAGUCCCUUGGCCUCCACAGAUGUCUGGAACACAUUUAUUUGUCAAUAGCCUACUUAUAGUGUCUGUCUCCCGGCAAGAUAAAGUCUCCUGGAAUACUGACCAUUGAAAGCCAGGGAAUCAAGCAGCAUAAGCUCCCCAAAGAAGACGCAGCUCUCUGGUACCUGUUCUAAGUCACUUCGUACAACUUUGCUCUCUGUUGGUCCUCCGUUCGGGUGUGCCCUGUUGGAAAGGAUAAACACACAUGUGACAUAUUUAAAGUUUGAUGAAAGGACUGAAGAAUUCCAGCUGAUUUUUAUCCAACUUUAACACUUAGUUUUCAAGAAGCAAUGUGGCUUCACGAAUUGGUAAGAUUAAAAAGAAAUAUUUUAUCCUAUAUCCUUCUCCUUAGAAGACCCCACCUCACUGCCCACGCUGUGAACUGGGAAAAUAAUAAACUGUAAAAAAAAGUUUUAGAGAGGGUGG